CGCCCUGCUAAGAAGCAUGUGUGCUUGUACAAAGGCCGUUCAGCCUCGGGAUUUACACUCGGCUCGACACGGAUAUGUGAAGAAUGAAGGGACCCUGCAGCGAAACGGAGAGCCAACCUCUGACUGAGUGCCCGUUUACUCAGUCUGACCACCUGUUGAAGGGCUGUUUGAUGACGAUUUGGACUCCUCUGGGAGAUGAGGACACACCCACAUCUGUUCCAUACUGCAGCCAUGGAUGGUGUUACGGCUCUGAGUCAGCUUUGGGCCAUCAGACGCACACACUGGAAAACCAGCGCCUGUACUUCAUGCAGGAGAGACGGCCUCAGUGAUAAUUCAUCAGCAGCUGUGGAGAGAUGUAUUUGAAUAUCUUCUGUUUCCACUUUUCUUAACCUGGAAGCUGAGGAUGGCUGAUUCCUGACAAGGACACACACCUCAGCGCUUAUCAUGGGUGUUACAUCCUCUGUGCUGCAAUUCCAGAGAAAACGAGAGAGCAACGACCACUCAUUAAGACCAGCCAGAAAUCUGUCCCUUUCUGGCAGCUGUGAAAACUUCCAAUAAGAAAGUUUGCAUUCUUAGAACAAU